GACGAACGCUGGCGGCGUGCUUAACACAUGCAAGUCGAACGAAAAGACGGAAAGAGCUUGCUCUUUUCAGAAUUGAGUGGCAAACGGGUGAGUAACACGUAAACAACCUGCCUUCAGGAUGGGGACAACAGACGGAAACGACUGCUAAUACCGAAUAAGUUCCAAGAGCCGCAUGGCCCAUGGAAGAAAAGGUGGCCUCUACCUGUAAGCUAUCGCCUGAAGAGGGGUUUGCGUCUGAUUAGCUGGUUGGAGGGGUAACGGCCCACCAAGGCGACGAUCAGUAGCCGGUCUGAGAGGAUGAACGGCCACACUGGAACUGAGACACGGUCCAGACUCCUACGGGAGGCAGCAGUGGGGAAUCUUCCGCAAUGGGCGAAAGCCUGACGGAGCAACGCCGCGUGAGUGAUGACGGCCUUCGGGUUGUAAAACUCUGUGAUCCGGGACGAAAAGGCAGAGUGCGAAGAACAAACUGCAUUGACGGUACCGGAAAAGCAAGCCACGGCUAACUACGUG
rnacentral:rRNA from 1 species